AAUGAACGCUGGCGGCAGGCCUAACACAUGCAAGUCGAACGAAGCCUUCGGGCUUAGUGGCGGACGGGUGAGUAACGCGUGGGAACAUACCCUUUGGUACGGAAUAGCCUCGGGAAACUGGGAGUAAUACCGUAUGUGCCCUUCGGGGGAAAGAUUUAUCGCCAAAGGAUUGGCCCGCGUUGGAUUAGGUAGUUGGUGGGGUAAUGGCCUACCAAGCCGACGAUCCAUAGCUGGUUUGAGAGGAUGAUCAGCCACACUGGGACUGAGACACGGCCCAGACUCCUACGGGAGGCAGCAGUGGGGAAUCUUAGACAAUGGGCGCAAGCCUGAUCUAGCCAUGCCGCGUGAUCGAUGAAGGCCUUAGGGUUGUAA
rnacentral:rRNA from 1 species